rnacentral:misc_RNA from 1 species
UACGGAGGUGGCUAGCGUUGUUCGGUAUCACUGGGCUUAAAGGGGGUGCAGGCGGUUCAGAUAGUCGGCAUGUGAAAUCCCUCAGCUCAACUGAGGAAUUGCAUUCGAUACUACUGGACUAGAGGCUCGUAGGGGAGAACAGAAUUCCUGGUGUAGCGGUGAAAUGCGUAGAUAUCAGGAAGAAUGCCGGUGGCGAAGGCGGUUCUCUGGGCGAGCCCUGACGCUGAGGCCCGAAAGCCGGGGGAGCGAACAGG